GGAGGGGUGGCCGAGUGGACGAUGGCGCCGGUCUUGAAAACCGGAUCCCGAAAGGGACGUGGGUUCGAAUCCUACCCCCUCCGCCA
rnacentral:tRNA from 1 species